UACAGAGGGUGCGAGCGUUAAUCGGAAUUACUGGGCGUAAAGCGUGCGUAGACGGUAGCGUAAGUCAGAUGUGAAAGCCCCGGGCUCAACCUGGGAAUUGCAUUUGAGACUGCUCUGCUCGGGUGCGGAAGAGGGAAGCGGAAUUUCCGGUGUAGCGGUGAAAUGCGUAGAUAUCGGAAGGAACACCAGUGGCGAAAGCACUCUGCUGGGCCGACACUGACACUGAGAGACGAAAGCUAGGGGAGCGAAUGGG
rnacentral:rRNA from 1 species